rnacentral:pre_miRNA from 1 species
CGACCUCUGAGAAUGGCACUGGAAGAAUUCACGGGGUAAGGAACAAGCCCGUGGUUCCUCGGUGCCAUCCACAGUGGCAC